AAGGUGGAGCUAAUCCCUUAAAGCUACUCUCAGUUCGGAUUGUAGGCUGAAACUCGCCUACAUGAAGCUGGAGUUACUAGUAAUCGCAGAUCAGAAUGCUGCGGUGAAUGCGUUCCCGGGUCUUGUACACACCGCCCGUCACACCACGGGAGUUGGAGACGCCCGAAGCCGAUUAUCUAACCUUUUGGAAGAAGUCGUCGAAGGUGGAAUCAAUAACUGGGGUGAAGUCGUAACAAGGUAGCCGUAUCGGAAGGUGCGGCUGGAUCACCUCCUUUCUAAGGAGA
rnacentral:rRNA from 1 species